CGAAUCAUCUUUACCUAUAUAUCCUCCGCCUCCUCCACCUGAGGAGCACCCCCCUCCACCCCCUCCGAAACCCCCUCUUGUCUCCCACCCCCACUUCUUCAUGGCCUGGGGGCAGGAAUGUCCUCCGGUGGCACCCUCCAGCAAAGAUUUUCCAGACCAGAGCAAGGAAGUGUUAUCAUUCCAGCCACCUCCACCACCUGCAGGAGACACGGAGAAAACCCCAAGUGAGGAUGCUGGCCAGUGCUGGGACUUUGUUUCAUUAGUGCUUCCCAUCCAACAAGAACCGGGACCCACCGGUCCUUGGGCAGCCAACUGUCAGAGCCCCGCUGGGAUCACCGCAGUGAAGUUCUUUUGCAGGAACCCUGGACUAGGCCAGACAAACCAAUGGGCUUUAUUGUUUCCUGGGCAAGAACUUCUCCAUUCUGAGCCUCAGUUUCCUCACCUGUGACUUGGGGAUAAUAAGACUUGCCUCAUUGGGUUGAUGUUUGGACCAAAGAAGACAACGAGUGUGCAAAAUGCUUCAGAAACCACAACGUGUAGGGAUCGUUGGGCAUGAGGUGAACACGUGUGUGCACAGGGCCUCACGCUCUGAAGCUCAGGAAAGGCACUCUACUCCAAAAGACCCCAAAGUCCUUUCUGUUCCAGCAGAUGGUGGUAGCAAAGACCUGGAGAAACAGCAGUGCUUGAGUCUGCGGAACCAUGAGGGUUAACUGGCCGGGAAGGGCGGUCUGGAAGAAUGAGUGGCAGAGCUUUUAAGCAAAUGUGUGGAAAAGAAAACAAUCGGCAAAAAGAGAAAAAAAAAAAAAAACAACAAAUGAACCACAGCAGUGUUUUAAAAAAUGGACUGAGUAUGAAACAGUUUGGCUAUUUGGAGAAAAAAGAAUCCACCAACUCUAUGAGCUCAUUGAUUCUUCUGUAAAAUGGGAAUAACAGUACAACGGGAAAGCCCUGCGGGUGGUGCUGAGAAGCACACGUACAACAGAUGUGGAAGUGCUUGGAGAGCUCUUAACUGCCGCUGUGAACGUCGCUGGAUGGUCUUCACCAAGCACCCAAGCCCUACUCCCACUCUCCCUUCUCUUCUAGCCAUCUCUCACUUGUAGGGAAACUUUGAGGACUUGUUUUCAUUAAUCUCAAAUCUUAUAGGCCUUCUGAGAUCCUUGGUCUGAUUGUGGAGAAAAGAAAAUACAACAAUGAACUGCAUUUUCUCUUCA